rnacentral:rRNA from 1 species
CGGUGAAGCCCAGCUUGCUGGGUGGAUCAGUGGCGAACGGGUGAGUAACACGUGAGCAAUCUGCCCCUGACUCUGGGAUAAGCGCUGGAAACGGCGUCUAAUACCGGAUACGAGACGUGACCGCAUGGUCGAUGUUUGGAAAGAUUUUUCGGUCAGGGAUGAGCUCGCGGCCUAUCAGCUUGUUGGUGAGGUAAUGGCUCACCAAGGCGUCGACGGGUAGCCGGCCUGAGAGGGUGACCGGCCACACUGGGACUGAGACACGGCCCAGACUCCUACGGGAGGCAGCAGUGGGGAAUAUUGCACAAUGGGCGGAAGCCUGAUGCAGCAACGCCGCGUGAGGGAUGACGGCCUUCGGGUUGUAAACCUCUUUUAGCAGGGAAGAAGCGAAAGUGACGGUACCUGCAGAAAAAGCGCCGGCUAACUACGUGCCAGCAGCCGCGGUAAUACGUAGGGCGCAAGCGUUAUCCGGAAUUAUUGGGCGUAAAGAGCUCGUAGGCGGUUUGUCGCGUCUGCUGUGAAAUCCCGAGGCUCAACCUCGGGCCUGCAGUGGGUACGGGCAGACUAGAGUGCGGUAGGGGAGAUUGGAAUUCCUGGUGUAGCGGUGGAAUGCGCAGAUAUCAGGAGGAACACCGAUGGCGAAGGCAGAUCUCUGGGCCGUAACUGACGCUGAGGAGCGAAAGGGUGGGGAGCAAACAGGCUUAGAUACCCUGGUAGUCCACCCCGUAAACGUUGGGAACUAGUUGUGGGGUCCAUUCCACGGAUUCCGUGACGCAGCUAACGCAUUAAGUUCCCCGCCUGGGGAGUACGGCCGCAAGGCUAAAACUCAAAGGAAUUGACGGGGACCCGCACAAGCGGCGGAGCAUGCGGAUUAAUUCGAUGCAACGCGAAGAACCUUACCAAGGCUUGACAUAUUCGAGAACGGGCCAGAAAUGGUCAACUCUUUGGACACUCGUUUACAGGUGGUGCAUGGUUGUCGUCAGCUCGUGUCGUGAGAUGUUGGGUUAAGUCCCGCAACGAGCGCAACCCUCGUUCUAUGUUGCCAGCACGUUAUGGUGGGAACUCAUGGGAUACUGCCGGGGUCAACUCGGAGGAAGGUGGGGAUGACGUCAAAUCAUCAUGCCCCUUAUGUCUUGGGCUUCACGCAUGCUACAAUGGCCGGUACAAAGGGCUGCAAUACCGUGAGGUGGAGCGAAUCCCAAAAAGCCGGUCCCAGUUCGGAUUGAGGUCUGCAACUCGACCUCAUGAAGUCGGAGUCGCUAGUAAUCGCAGAUCAGCAACGCUGCGGUGAAUACGUUCCCGGGUCUUGUACACACCGCCCGUCAAGUCAUGAAAGUCGGUAACACCUGAAGCCGGUG